rnacentral:rRNA from 1 species
AUAUCAAUAAGCGGAGGAAAAGAAACCAACAGGGAUUGCCCUAGUAACGGCGAGUGAAGCGGCAACAGCUCAAAUUUGAAAUCUGGCUCUCGGGCCCGAGUUGUAAUUUGUAGAGGAUGCUUUUGGUGCGGUGCCUUCCGAGUGCCCUGGAACGGGACGCCAUAGAGGGUGAGAGCCCCGUCUGGUUGGAUGCCAAUCCUCUGUAAAGCUCCUUCGACGAGUCGAGUAGUUUGGGAAUGCUGCUCUAAAUGGGAGGUAUAUGUCUUCUAAAGCUAAAUACCGGCCAGAGACCGAUAGCGCACAAGUAGAGUGAUCGAAAGAUGAAAAGCACUUUGAAAAGAGAGUUAAAAAGUACGUGAAAUUGUUGAAAGGGAAGCGUUUAUGACCAGACUUGGGCUUGGUUAAUCAUCCAGGGUUCUCCCUGGUGCACUUUUCCAGUCCAGGCCAGCAUCAGUUUGCUUCGGGGGAUAAAGGCUUCGGGAAUGUGGCUCUCUCCGGGGAGUGUUAUAGCCCGUUGCGUAAUACCCUGGGGCGGACUGAGGUACGCGCUUCUGCAAGGAUGCUGGCGUAAUGGUCAUCAACGACCCGUCUUGAAACACGGACCAAGGAGUCGUCUUCGUAUGCGAGUGUUCGGGUGUCAAACCCCUACGCGUAAUGAAAGUGAACGCAGGUGAGAGCUUCGGCGCAUCAUCGACCGAUCCUGAUGUUCUCGGAUGGAUUUGAGUAAGAGCAUACGGGGCCGGACCCGAAAGAAGGUGAACUAUGCUUGUAUAGGGUGAAGCCAGAGGAAACUCUGGUGGAGGCUCGCAGCGGUUCUGACGUGCAAAUCGAUCGUCAAAUAUGAGCAUGGGGGCGAAAGACUAAUCGAACCUUCUACUAGCUGGUUUCCGCC